GAUCAUGGCUCAGGACGAACGCUGGCGGCGUGCUUAACACAUGCAAGUCGAACGGUUGUAGCAAUACAACAGUGGCGGACGGGUGAGUAACGCGUGAGCAACUACCCUAUACAACGGGAUAACACAGAGAAAUUUGUGCUAAUACGGUAUAAGACCACAAGGAAGGCAUCUUCCGGUGGUAAAAGAUUUUAUCGGUAUAGGAGGGGCUCGCGUCUCAUUAGAUAGUUGGUGAGGGUAACGGCCCACCAAGUCAACGAUGGGUAGCCGACCUGAGAGGGUGAACGGCCACACUGGAACUGAGAUACGGUCCAGACUCCUACGGGAGGCAGCAGUGGGGAAUAUUGGGCAAUGGAGGCAACUCUGACCCAGCAACGCCGUGUGAAUGAAGAAGGUCUUCGGAUUGUAAAGUUCUUUAAUUGGUGACGAAAGAAAUGACGGUAGCCAAAGAAUAAGCCACGACUAACUACGUGCCAGCCGCCGC
rnacentral:rRNA from 1 species